rnacentral:rRNA from 1 species
AGUGAACGCUGGCGGUAGGCCUAACACAUGCAAGUCGAACGGCAGCACAGUAAGAGCUUGCUCUUACGGGUGGCGAGUGGCGGACGGGUGAGGAAUACAUCGGAAUCUACUUUUUCGUGGGGGAUAACGUAGGGAAACUUACGCUAAUACCGCAUACGACCUACGGGUGAAAGCAGGGGAUCUUCGGACCUUGCGCGAUUGAAUGAGCCGAUGUCGGAUUAGCUAGUUGGCGGGGUAAAGGCCCACCAAGGCGACGAUCCGUAGCUGGUCUGAGAGGAUGAUCAGCCACACUGGAACUGAGACACGGUCCAGACUCCUACGGGAGGCAGCAGUGGGGAAUAUUGGACAAUGGGCGCAAGCCUGAUCCAGCCAUACCGCGUGGUGAAGAAGGCCUUCGGGUUGUAAAGCCCUUUUGUUGGGAAAGAAAAGCAGCAGGUUAAUACCCCGCUGUCCUGACGGUACCCAAAGAAUAAGCACCGGCUAACUUCGUG